rnacentral:rRNA from 1 species
UUCGGGUUGUAAAGCACUUUCAGUGGGGAGGAAGGUAGUGUAGUUAACACCUGCACUAUUUGACGUUACCUACAGAAGAAGCACCGGCUAACUCCGUGCCAGCAGCCGCGGUAAUACGGAGGGUGCGAGCGUUAAUCGGGAAUUACUGGGCGUAAAGCGCAUGCAGGCGGCCUGUUAAGUCAGAUGUGAAAGCCCGGGGCUUAACCCUCGGAAUUGCAUUUGAAACUGGCAGGCUAGAGUCUUGUAGAGGGGGUAGAAUUUCAGGUGUAGCGGUGAAAUGCGUAGAGAUCUGAAGGAAUACCAGUGGCGAAGGCGGCCCCCUGGACAAAGACUGACGCUCAGAUGCGAAAGCGUGGGGACGCAAACAGGAUUAGAUACCCUGGUAG